rnacentral:tRNA from 1 species
GGGGAGGUCGCAUAGUGGCCUAGUGCGGCGGUUUGCUAAACCGCUACAGGGGCAACCCUGUCGAGGGUUCGAAUCCCUCCCUCCCCGCCA